rnacentral:rRNA from 1 species
UACAGAGGUCUCAAGCGUUGUUCGGAUUCAUUGGGCGUAAAGGUUGCGUAGGCGGCUCGGUAAGUCGGGUGUGAAAUCUCGGAGCUUAACUUCGAAACUGCAUUCGAUACUGCCGUGCUUGAGGACUGGAGAGGAGACUGGAAUUUACGGUGUAGCGGUGAAAUGCGUAGAUAUCGUAAGGAAGACCAGUGGCGAAGGCGGGUCUCUGGGACGGUACUGACGCUGAGACGCGAAAGCGUGGGGAGAGAACAGG